CUCAUAAAUGGAAGGCACCCCCAGUCCCGCCUCCCUGGGAGCCCAUUGCUGAGUUUUCAUUUUCCUGCUGGGAGGGCUCAGGGAGCACUGGGUCCUGGCACUUUGUGCCUCAGAGACGCUUCCAAACAAGCUGCCUGGUCCUUUGACCACAUGGUGGCUGCCCGGGAACACCGGUUGGCUUCCUCUACCUCUCCGUACCCUUCCUCUGGCCACAGAUUCCCAGAUGGCUCCUCUGAUCAAGACACACCGUCUACCUCUCCCAGCCUCAAGAGGCCAGCCCAGCCCACUCAACUCUCCUGGGAACAGCUCCCUUCCAUGCCCCCAGCUCCGUGUUCAUCCUUCCAGACCCCAGGCAAGCUCUCAGGAAGCCGUUUUCUCUUCCUU
rnacentral:lncRNA from 10 species